CACAUUGUCGGUGGAGCCUUUCUUAUUUCUGUGUUCAAUUCCCGCCUGGGUAUUCGGAACCUGUGGUUAAAGCUGGGGCUGCGGGCCAUGAAGCCAACGGUGUCCACGAGGAUCAUGAUGAUGGACAGCAGGUUGAGGAGGCCGGAGCGCAGGUCCAGGCCCAGCAGGAGGCAGCAGACAGCGAAGCUGACCCUUGAGCAACACGAGUUUGAACUGCCUGGGCUCACUUAUCCCUAGAUUUUCUUCCACCUCUACUGCCCCCAAAACAGCAAGACCAAGCCCUCCUCUUCCUCCUCUUCCUCAGCCUACUCAACCUGAAGACAAUGAGGAGAAAGACCUUCAUGAUGAUCCACUUUCACUUCAUGAAUAGUAAAUAGAUUUUCUCUUCCUUAUGACUUUCUUACUAACAUUUUCUUUUUUCUAGCUUCCUUUAUUGUAAGAAUACAGUUUAUAAUACAUAUAACAUUCAAAAGAUGUGUUAUCGACUACUUAUAUUAUCAUUAAGGCUUCCAGGUAAUAGUAGGUUAGUAGGAAUUAAGUUUGGAGGGGUCAAAUGUUACCUGCAGACCAGGCAUGGUAGCUCACGCCUGUAAUCCCAGCAUUUGGGAGGCCAAGGUGGGUGGACCACAUGAGGUCA